UACGUAGGCAGCGAGCGUUGUUCGGAAUUACUGGGCGUAAAGCGUGCGCAGGCGGUUUUGUAAGCCAGAUGUGAAAUCCCCGGGCUUAACCUGGGAAUGGCAUUUGGGACUGCAAGGCUUGAGUGCGGCAGAGGAGACUGGAAUUCCUGGUGUAGCAGUGAAAUGCGUAGAUAUCAGGAGGAAUACCGAUGGCGAAGGCAGGUCUCUGGGCUGACACUGACGCUCAUGCACGAAAGCGUGGGGAGCAAACAGG
rnacentral:rRNA from 1 species